AGAGUUUGAUCCUGGCUCAGGAUGAACGCUGGCGGCGUGCUUAACACAUGCAAGUCGAACGAACCUUCGGGUUAGUGGCGGACGGGUGAGUAACGCGUGAGAAUCUGCCCUCAGGAGGGGGACAACAGCUGGAAACGGCUGCUAAUACCCCAUAUGCCGUGAGGUGAAAUGAAUUUCGCCUGAGGAUGAGCUCGCGUCUGAUUAGCUAGUUGGUGUAGGUAAUGGCUCACCAAGGCAUCGGUCAGUAGCUGGUCUGAGAGGAUGAUCAGCCACACUGGGACUGAGACACGGCCCAGACUCCUACGGGAGGCAGCAGUGGGGAAUUUUCCGCAAUGGGCGAAAGCCUGACGGAGCAACGCCGCGUGAGGGAUGAAGGCCUCUGGGCUGUAAACCUCUUUUAUCAAGGAAGAAGAUCUGACGGUACUUGAUGAAUAAGCCACGGCUAAUUCCGUGCCAGCAGCCGCGGUAAUACGGGAGUGGCAAGCGUUAUCCGGAAUUAUUGGGCGUAAAGCGUCCGCAGGCGGCCCUUCAAGUCUGCUGUUAAAAAGUGGAGCUUAACUCCAUCAUGGCAGUGGAAACUGUUGGGCUUGAGUGUGGUAGGGGCAGAGGGAAUUCCCGGUGUAGCGGUGAAAUGCGUAGAUAUCGGGAAGAACACCAGUGGCGAAGGCGCUCUGCUGGGCCAUCACUGACGCUCAUGGACGAAAGCCAGGGGAGCGAAAGGGAUUAGAUACCCCUGUAGUCCUGGCCGUAAACGAUGAACACUAGGUGUCGGGGGAAUCGACCCCCUCGGUGUCGUAGCCAACGCGUUAAGUGUUCCGCCUGGGGAGUACGCACGCAAGUGUGAAACUCAAAGGAAUUGACGGGGGCCCGCACAAGCGGUGGAGUAUGUGGUUUAAUUCGAUGCAACGCGAAGAACCUUACCAGGGUUUGACAUCCUGCGAAUCUCUUGGAAACAGGAGAGUGCCUUCGGGAACGCAGUGACAGGUGGUGCAUGGCUGUCGUCAGCUCGUGUCGUGAGAUGUUGGGUUAAGUCCCGCAACGAGCGCAACCCACGUCUUUAGUUGCCAGCAUUUAGUUGGGCACUCUAGAGAGCCUGCCGGUGAUAAACCGGAGGAAGGUGUGGAUGACGUCAAGUCAUCAUGCCCCUUACAUCCUGGGCUACACACGUACUACAAUGCUACGGACAAAGGGCAGCAAGUUCGCGAGGACAAGCAAAUCCCAUAAACCGUGGCUCAGUUCAGAUCGUAGGCUGCAACUCGCCUACGUGAAGGCGGAAUCGCUGGUAAUCGCAGGUCAGCAUACUGCGGUGAAUACGUUCCCGGGCCUUGUACACACCGCCCGUCACACCAUGGAAGUUGGCCACGCCCGAAGCCGUUACUCCAACCCUUGUGGAGGAGGACGUCGAAGGUGGGGCUGAUGACUGGGGUGAAGUCGUAACAAGGUA
rnacentral:rRNA from 1 species